rnacentral:rRNA from 1 species
GAUGAACGCUGGCGGCGUGCCUAAUACAUGCAAGUCGAGCGAACAGACGAGGAGCUUGCUCCUCUGACGUUAGCGGCGGACGGGUGAGUAACACGUGUAUACCCUACCUAUAAGACUGGUAUAACUUCGGGAAACCGGAGCUAAUACCGGAUAAUAUAUUGAACCGCAUGGUUCAAUGGUGAAAGACGGUUUUGCUGUCACUUAUAGAUGGUUCCGGGCCGCAUUAGCUAGUUGGUAAGGUAACGGCUUACCAAGGCAACGAUGCGUAGCCGACCUGAGAGGGUGAUCGGCCACACUGGAACUGAGACACGGUCCAGACUCCUACGGGAGGCAGCAGUAGGGAAUCUUCCGCAAUGGGCGAAAGCCUGACGGAGCAACGCCGCGUGAGUGAUGAAGGUCUUCGGAUCGUAAAACUCUGUUAUUAGGGAAGAACAAAUGUGUAAGUAAAUAUGCACGUCUUGACGGUACCUAAUCAGAAAGCCACGGCUAACUACGUG